GCUCACUGCCCCCCAGAUGGGCAGUGAGUUGGUGGUGGGUUCCUGAGGCCAGGAUGGGGCCCAGCCCCAGACCCCCAAGAUGGCACCUCUGCCAGAGGGCUGUGGGGCCCUCCUAGGCUGACCUGGCAGCAGGCCAGUGCCCUUGGCCCCCGUCUUGCCUGGAUCUGACGUCCCCUAACUGAAAACUACUUCAUACUCUACCCUGGGCAUCGUGAUGGGCAGUGCCAGAGGACUGAGCUGUGCUGUGUGGCCCUGAUGAAAGGACGUUGAGACGUAGUGACUUGUCCAAGAUGGGCUAGGAAGCAGGAGCCAGGAAUCCAAGCCAGGACUGCUGUUGUGAGGAUCCAACAAGCUAAUGUAUGCCAAGGCACGCUGGGGACGCUGCGCGCUCGGUCCAGGAGAAUGGAGACCCCAGAGUGGGUCUAAUGAUGAAGACCUUGACUGUGACCUCGGUGGAAAAUGACCUGUGAACCAACUAAUAAACAAUAUACCCAUCUAGUUGAUUCGUUAUCUGGUGAUGAAGAUAUUGGCUGUCACUUCUGUUUCUUAAGGAGCAAAGGGACUCAUCAUGAGCACAGCACAGCCAGCUCAUUCAUUCUCUCAUGGCGACAACCUUAGUUGUUGUCUCUGUCAGCGAAGAGUACAGACACCAAUAAAGGACGUUAUGGAAGAGGAAGACAAAAAACGCCAACCCGGGAUCAAUGAUGAGCACCCUGAGAUGUUUGAACUAAGG